rnacentral:rRNA from 1 species
CAGCCGCCACGGUAAUACGGAGGGUGCAAGCGUUACUCGGAAUCACUGGGCGUAAAGGACGCGUAGGCGGAUUAUCAAGUCUCUUGUGAAAUCUAACGGCUUAACCGUUAAACUGCUUGGGAAACUGAUAAUCUAGAGUAAGGGAGAGGCAGAUGGAAUUCUUGGUGUAGGGGUAAAAUCCGUAGAGAUCAAGAAGAAUACCCAUUGCGAAAGCGAUCUGCUGGAACUUAACUGACGCUAAUGCGUGAAAGCGUGGGGAGCAAACAGGAUUAGAUACCCGCGUAGUCCCUGUCUCUUAUAC